UGAUCAUGGCUCAGAACGAACGCUGGCGGCAGUGCUUAACACAUGCAAGUCGAACGCAUCCUUCGGGAUGAGUGGCAGACGGGUGAGUAACGCGUGGGAACGUACCUUUCGGUUCGGAAUAACCCAGGGAAACUUGGGCUAAUACCGGAUACGCCGGAAACGGGAAAGAUUUAUUGCCGAAAGAUCGGCCCGCGUCGGAUUAGCUAGUUGGUGGGGUAAUGGCCCACCAAGGCGACGAUCCGUAGCUGGUCUGAGAGGAUGAUCAGCCACACUGGGACUGAGACACGGCCCAGACUCCUACGGGAGGCAGCAGUGGGGAAUAUUGGACAAUGGGCGAAAGCCUGAUCCAGCCAUGCCGCGUGAGUGAAGAAGGCCUUAGGGUUGUAAAGCUCUUUCAGCGGGGACGAUAAUGACGGUACCCGCAGAAGAAGCCCCGGCUAACUUCGUGCCAGCAGCCGCGGUAAUACGAAGGGGGCUAGCGUUGUUCGGAUUUACUGGGCGUAAAGCGCGCGUAGGCGGACAUUUAAGUCAGGGGUGAAAUCCCAGGGCUCAACCCUGGAACUGCCUUUGAUACUGAACGUCUGGAGUUCGGGAGAGGUGAGUGGAAUUCCGAGUGUACGAGGUGAAAUUCGUAGAUAUUCGGAGGAACACCAGAAGCGAAGGCGGCUCACUG
rnacentral:rRNA from 1 species